UAUCAAGAAUAAAGAAAAUUUAUAGAUGUAUAGUUUAAGAAAUGCAUAGAUUUCUCCAUUAUUCAAUACGUUCCAAAUUUCUGGUUUUUUAAUAAACUAGACUCUUACCCGUGCGAUGCACGGAUUUUAUGCGCUAUUUUAUACUAUAAAAUAAUUUGCAAAAACAUUUAUUAAAUUUUAUCUUAUCUAUUUUUUUUACUAACACCAGUAAGUAGCUCUGACAAUCGACCAACUUUUUAUAUACAUAAAAAUUGGACAAAAAAUCAUUAGAAAAAUAUUAACUAUUUUGAAUAAAAUACACAAAAUAAUAAAAUCAACAAAAAAAGUAAAAUAAUAACAACCCAAAAUAAUAAUAAUUAUUAUUAUAAUUAGUACCACACAUUAAAUGCAUGUAAGUGGAUGAUGUGGCUAAAUGAAAGGUUUUCAUUGGUUUGUAGAUUAGGGUUUAGAUAGACAAUUGGACAACUAUCUAGGAUUUAUAUAUAUAGAUUAGUCACCAAAGCCGUAUAAGCCAUUAAUAAAUUAAAUUCCCACACUGUGUGGCAAUGAAAAAAAAAUUAAAAAAUAAAUUCCGAAUGAAGUAGAAUAACUUGAUGAUUUGUUUCAAUCCGAUAUGCAUGUGUGACUAUGUG
rnacentral:lncRNA from 1 species